GACGAACCGUCCAAACGUUAUUCGGAAUCACUGGGCUUACAGAGUUCGUAGGCGGUCUGGCAAGUUGGAUGUGAAAUCCCUCGGCUCAACCGAGGAACUGCGUUCGAUACUGCCAGACUCGAGGGAGAUAGAGGAAAGCGGAACUGAUGGUGGAGCGGUGAAAUGCGUUGAUAUCAUCAGGAACACCGGUGGCGAAGGCGGCUUUCUGGGUCUCUCCUGACGCUGAGGAACGAAAGCUAGGGUAGCGAACGGG
rnacentral:rRNA from 2 species